rnacentral:lncRNA from 1 species
CCCCCUCAGGAGGCUUUGGGGUCCUUCUCUGGACACGUUCCAGCCCCUCAACGUCCCUCCCAGAGUGACCGGCCCAAAAACUGGACCCACCACUGGAGGUGGGACCUCACCAGUACCGAGCACAAGGGGACUCUCAUUGCCCCACGUUGGCCACGCCGUUCCUGACACAAGGCCAAGAUGCUGGUGGCCACCUUGACCAACUGGGGGACACCGUUGGCUCCUGGUCACCCCCAGCUCCUUUUCCAGCCACUCCUCCCCCAGCCUGGUGUCACCCAAGGGGCAGGACCCAACAGUUGGCCAUGGUGAACCUCCCACCGUUGGCUUCAUCCCAUCCAGCCAACCUGGCCAGACCUUUCUGUAGGACCUUCCCAUCCUCCAGUAGAACCUUCCCACCCUCCAGUAGGACCUUCCCACCCUCCAGCAGAUCAACGCUCCCACCCAAAAGGCCAACCUAG